UACGUAGGACCCGAGCGUUGUCCGGAAUUACUGGGUAUAAAGGGUGCGUAGGCGGGUUGGUACGUCAGAGGUUAAAGACUGCAGCUUAACUGCAGCGUUGCCUUUGAAACGGCUGAUCUUGAAUAUGAGAGAGGAUGAUAGAAUUCCUGGUGUAGCGGUGAAAUGCGUAGAUAUCAGGAGGAAUACCGGUGGCGAAGGCGGUCAUCUGGCUCAUUAUUGACGUUGAGGCACGAAAGCGUGGGUAGCGAACAGGAUUAGAUACCCUGGUAGUCCACGCCCUAAACGAUGUAUGCUUGGUGUUGGUUUUAUAAUCAGUGCCGUAGGAAAUCUGUUAAGCAUACCACCUGGGGAGUACGAUCGCAAGUUUGAAACUCAAAGGAAUUGACGGGGGCCCGCACAAGCGGUGGAUUAUGUGGUUUAAUUCGAUGCAACGCGAAGAACCUUACCAGGGUUUGAAUAGUAAAGGAAUGAUGCAGAAAUGUAUCAGUUUUCGGACCUUUAUAUAGGUGCUGCAUGGCU
rnacentral:rRNA from 1 species